rnacentral:rRNA from 1 species
CAGCGCCGCGGUAAUACGGAGGAUCCAAGCGUUAUCCGGAUUUAUUGGGUUUAAAGGGUGCGUAGGUGGCCUGUUAAGUCAGGGGUGAAAGACGGUAGCUUAACUAUCGCAGUGCCCUUGAUACUGAUGGGCUUGAAUGAACUAGAGGUAGGCGGAAUGUGACAAGUAGCGGUGAAAUGCAUAGAUAUGUCACAGAACACCGAUUGCGAAGGCAGCUUACUAUGGUUUUAUUGACACUGAGGCACGAAAGCGUGGGGAUCAAACAGGAUUAGAUACCCCUGUAGUCCCUGUCUCUUAUACC